CAGCAGCCGCGGUAAUACGUAGGACACGAACGUUAUCCGGAGUUACUGGGCGUAAAGCGCGCGCAGGCGGUGAGAUAAGUUGCCUAUGAAAGUUACCGGCUAAACUGGUAAAAGUUAGGUGAAACUGUCUGACUAGAGAGAAAUAGAGGGAAGUAGAAUUCCGGGUGUAGUGGUGAAAUGCGUAGAUAUCCGGAGGAAUACCGGUGGCGAAGGCGGCUUCCUGGAUUUCCACUGACGCUGAGGCGCGAAAACGUGGGUAGCGAACGGGAUUAGAAACCCCGGUAGUCCACGCCGUAAACGAUGUACAUUAGGCGUUCGGCAACGAUGGUUGUUGAGUGUCGCAGCAAACGCGAUAAAUGUACCGCCUGGGGAGUACGGUCGCAAGGCUAAAACUCAAAGGAAUUGACGGGGGCCCGCACAAGCAGCGGAGCGUGUGGUUUAAUUCGAGGCUACGCGAAGAACCUUACCUGGGAAUGACAUGUUGGUAGUACGGAAGCGAAAGCGGAAGGACCCUUCGGGGAGCCAACACAGGUGCUGCAUGGUUGUCGUCAGCUCGUGCCGUGAGGUGUUCGGUUAAGUCCGCAAACGAGCGCAACCCUCGGUGCUAGUUAUACGUGUCUAGCAUGACUGCCCAUGACAAAUAGGAGGAAGGUGGGGAUGACGUCAAAUCAGCAUGGCCUUAAUAUCCAGGGCGACACACACGCUACAAUGGUCGGUACAAUGGGUAGCGAAGUAGCGAUACGGAGCCAAUCCUAAAAAGCCGAUCUCAGUUCGGAUUGCAGGCUGCAACUCGCCUGCAUGAAGUCGGAGUUGCUAGUAACCGCGAAUCAGCACGUUGCGGUGAAUACGUUCCCGGGCCUUGUACACACCGCCCGU
rnacentral:rRNA from 1 species